GGCUCGGGCUGCGGGGCGGCUGGCGCGCGCGCGCCGCGGGGCGGAGAAGCGGGCCCGGCGGCCGGCGAGCAUGGAGGAGAAGUACCUGCCGGAGCUGAUGGCGGAGAAGGACUCUCUGGACCCCUCCUUCACGCACGCCCUGCGCCUGGUGAACCGAGAAAUAGAAAAGUUUCAAAAAGGAGAAGGCAAGGAUGAAGAGAAGUACAUUGAUGUGGUGAUAAAUAAGAACAUGAAGCUGGGACAGAAAGUGUUGAUUCCUGUAAAGCAAUUUCCCAAGUUCAACUUUGUGGGGAAGCUUUUGGGUCCACGUGGCAAUUCUCUGAAGCGCUUACAAGAAGAAACGUUGACAAAAAUGUCCAUCCUUGGAAAAGGUUCCAUGAGAGACAAGGCAAAGGAGGAAGAGCUGAGGAAAAGUGGAGAAGCAAAAUACUUCCACCUCAAUGAUGACCUGCAUGUGCUCAUUGAAGUGUUUGCGCCCCCAGCAGAAGCCUAUGCCCGGAUGGGGCACGCCUUGGAAGAGAUCAAGAAGUUCCUGAUCCCUGAUUAUAAUGAUGAAAUCAGGCAAGCACAGCUCCAGGAAUUAACAUAUUUGAAUGGAGGUUCAGAAAAUGCGGAUGUCCCUGUGGUUCGAGGGAAAUCCACUUUGCGUACAAGAGGUGUAACAACACCAGCAAUAACCAGGGGAAGAGGAGGAGUCACAGCCAGGCCUGUCGCAGUUGGGGUACCACGUGGGACACCGACUCCUCGAGGAGUCCUUUCCACCCGAGGGCCAGUGAGCCGGGGAAGAGGACUUCUCACUCCCAGAGCAAGAGGUGUCCCCCCAACUGGAUACAGACCUCCACCGCCACCCCCAACACAGGAGACCUAUGGAGAGUAUGACUAUGAUGAUGGGUACGGUACUGCAUACGAUGAACAGAGUUACGACUCCUAUGACAACAGCUACAGCACCCCAGCCCAAAGCGGAGCUGAUUACUAUGAUUACGGGCAUGGACUCGGUGAGGAGGCUUACGAUUCCUAUGGGCAAGAGGAAUGGGCUAACUCAAGACAUAAGGCUCCUUCAGCGAGGACGGCGAAGGGCGUCUACAGAGACCAGCCAUAUGGCAGAUACUGAUUGUACUGUCUGAUGUUGUGAAAUAGCCAAUCUGCACCGUCCUGUAUACUGUUCAAAGAAAUGUCGACCACCUUGGACUGUCAGAGGAGCUCGGUGUGACUUAGAGCAAACAAAGGAACUGCUUCUGUUACGGGCUGCUUAAGGCCAGUCACCUCACCAUUGUGCCUACUCAGUGAAUGGAUCCAUUUGGGAACUGGACAGUCACCAAUUGAUUAUUGUUGUUUUGUCCCUCAUGUGUGUUUUUGGGAUGUUUUCGUGAAACAUUUUUUAAUUUAAAAAGUUGUUUUUUCUUUCUUUUUAAAGAAAGAAUGUUUUAUUUUGUUGUCUCAGAAACAAACAAGAAGAAUGAUUUGUAUUGUCGCUAAUAAAGGCUCCCCCAUCAAAAUCUCUUCCAUUUUAAUAUAGACGAAGACCACAAAUCUAAUUAUUUCUGCACAGCUCUAUGAAGUUUGCAUACUUGAGAGACUUGUACAGCUACGGCUCCCCACAACAAAUCAAGAAGCUGCACACAUCACAGAUUUGAGAACGAUUUAUCCAUCUCAGUUAUGGGCCAAUACAUAUGUUAGGCAAAAGAGUCCUGCCCUGGCCUGUCCCAGGUUAGUCAUGAAGGCUUCUGGGCAGUGGAGUGGUACAUGGAACAGAGCUGGACUUCAGUGCCUCCCUGUGGUUGGCAAUGGAACAUAAAGGUCAAGGUCUCUGUGUCUAGUGUUACUCUGUUCCCUCCCCUUUCAUCGGUUGCUAGUGCGUUGUGAUUUUAAUUCCAUACACCCCCGGGAGCGUGUGUUUUAUUUGGGAAGCUUGCACAGCAUCCUUCCUGAUCUUGGAAUUUCCAGAGCUGUCUCACACCUUGUCUGGGUGUUGCUUUCUUCCCUCAGACGUUUCCUAGAGGCACUGACUUUUUACAGCAUCGUAGGUUUGGGACAUUGUGUAAACACAGAAUAACUUUGAAUAGUUUAACUUUUUCUUAUCCUUUUAGUAUGCAUCCUAAAAACAUAGUUGUCGUCGACUGAAGUUCUGACCUUUAUAUUUAUCAAAUGUGCAUUUUUCCAUCUUCUGACUAUGUGAUGUGCAAAGUGUGUGCUAGAGAACACCCAGCAGUGUUCUGCAGCCAGCUGGCUGCUUGUAGAAGAGGAUGGUGAGGACUGCAGUCUGGGGACACGCUUGGGAAGGCCAUGCACUCAGCACACCCUUUAGCCCAUUUAGACAAGUGGAAACUUGAGACUGUGAGCAGGCCGUGAUCAAUCGAAGACUCUGGUCCCUUCUUACUUGCUGACCCACCUGCAGCCCUGUGGUUGGGAGCCUCGAAGCU